rnacentral:rRNA from 1 species
UACACACCGCCCGUCACACCAUGGGAUUGGUUUACCUUAAGACGGUGUGCUAACCAGCAAUGGAGGCAGCCGGCCACGGUAAGGUCAGCGACUGGGGUG